AUUAAUGCUACUUCAGCAUGCAAAAAAAAAUUUGUCCCAAAGGCUGAUUGGGAAACUUUCCAGUAUGAUAAACUGUUAGGACCGUAUGACAAUUAUGAUACUGCUCGAGCCGUGGAAAUUGCUGCCGUAGACAUGUCGACAUGCGAUGAAA